GACGGGGGGGGCAAGUGUUCUUCGGAAUUACUGGGCGUAAAGCGCACGCAGGUGGCUGAGUCAGUCGAUUGUGAAAGCCCUGGGCUUAACCUGGGAAUUGCAGUCGAUACUACUCAGCUAGAGUAUGGGAGAGGGCAGUGGAAUUCCCGGUGUAGCGGUGAAAUGCGUAGAUAUACGGAAGGAACACCAGUGGCGAAAAGCGGCUUCCUGGUCCAGCACCGACGUCAGGUACGAAAAGCGUGGGGAGCAAACAGG
rnacentral:rRNA from 1 species